AUUGAACGCUGGCGGCAUGCUUUACACAUGCAAGUCGAACGGCAGCGCGGGCUUCGGCCUGGCGGCGAGUGGCGAACGGGUGAGUAAUGCAUCGGAACGUGCCCAGUAGUGGGGGAUAGCCCGGCGAAAGCCGGAUUAAUACCGCAUACGACCUGAGGGUGAAAGCGGGGGACCGAAAGGCCUCGCGCUAUUGGAGCGGCCGAUGUCGGAUUAGCUAGUUGGUGGGGUAAAGGCUUACCAAGGCGACGAUCCGUAGCUGGUCUGAGAGGACGACCAGCCACACUGGGACUGAGACACGGCCCAGACUCCUACGGGAGGCAGCAGUGGGAAUUUUGGACAAUGGGGGCAACCCUGAUCCAGCCAUGCCGCGUGCGGGAAGAAGGCCUUCGGGUUGUAAACCGCUUUUGUUCGGGAAGAAAUCCUCUGGGCUAAUACCCCGGGGGGAUGACGGUACCGGAAGAAUAAGCACCGGCUAACUACGUG
rnacentral:rRNA from 1 species